GCUUAGUGGUGUUGUUCGGUUCGGUUCGGAUCGCACAACUGCGUUGCUGUUACUGGCGGAGGUGGUGGUGAAUUUGCAGGCUUUUAUGUAAAUAAAUCGCCGAUCGCGUUGCACUUCUCCCCCGUCGAGCACCACCGCCAACAUCACCACAAUCAAGAAUUGCUGCAAUGCAACGCAGCAACAAAUGCAGUUGGGUGGUGGCUGCACGGAAUUGAAGCGGUGCUUACAG